rnacentral:misc_RNA from 1 species
AAGUCGUAACAAGGUUUCCGUAGGUGAACCUGCGGAAGGAUCAUCAAUAGUCUCAAAUUGUCUUGUCCGGGAUUCCCUAAUAGGGUAUUAACCGGCUUGACAAAAUACCUUCUUGUGCACUGUCUGUUGGUUAUGGCUGACUGGGGGGAUUGUUGGGGUAUGCUUCGGUAUGCUUUGCGCCCCCAGCCAGUCGUUUGUUUUAUACAAACUCUGUUAACAUUAUUGUCUCAGGAUCUAGUUGAGAGAAUAUUAAAAAUAUUUAUACAACUUACAGCGAUGGAUCUCUAGGCUCUGGU